GACGAACGCUGGCGGCGUGCCUAAUACAUGCAAGUCGAGCGAAUGGAAGGGAGCUUGCUCCCUAAAGUUAGCGGCGGACGGGUGAGUAACACGUGGGCAACCUGCCUGUAAGACUGGGAUAACUUCGGGAAACCGGAGCUAAUACCGGAUACGUUCUUUCCUCGCAUGAGGAAAGAUGGAAAGAUGGUUUCGGCUAUCACUUACAGAUGGGCCCGCGGCGCAUUAGCUAGUUGGUGGGGUAAUGGCCUACCAAGGCGACGAUGCGUAGCCGACCUGAGAGGGUGAUCGGCCACACUGGGACUGGGACACGGCCCAGACUCCUACGGAAGGGAGCAGUGGGGAAUUGUGCGCAAUGGGCGCAAGCCUGACGACGCAACGCCGCGUGGAGGAUGAAGAUCUUCGGGUCGUAAACUCCUGUCGAAUGGGACGAACGGAUCGCGUGUGAACAACACGUGGUCGUGACGGUACCGUUAAAGGAAACCCCGGCUAACUCCGUGCCAGCCGCCGCCGUAACAC
rnacentral:rRNA from 1 species